AUCGAGGCUAGAGUCACGCUUGGGUAUUAGCUAUUAUUGCCUUAGCGUGCUAGAAUCCUCGAAGACCAACUUCUGACCUUGACUCUGGCUCCCCUAUGGCAUGGUCAGUCACCAGGGUAAUGGCAUGC